rnacentral:rRNA from 1 species
CAGGUGCUGCAUGGCGUGUCGUCAGCUCGUGUCGUGAGAUGUUGGUUAAGUCCGCAACGAGCGCAACCCCUGCUGCCAGUUGCCAACGGGUGAAGCCGGGCACUCUGGCGGGACUGCCAUCGACAAGAUGGAGGAAGGUGGGGAUGACGUCAAGUCAUCAUGGCCCUUAUGUCCAGGGCGACACACGUGCUACAAUGGCCGGCACAGCGGGAAGCGAGGCAGUGAUGCCAAGCGGAUCCCUUAAAGCCGGUCUCAGUUCGGAUUGAAGUCUGCAACUCGACUUCAUGAAGCUGGAAUCGCUAGUAAUCGCAGAUCAGCCAAGCUGCGGUGAAUACGUUCCCGGGCCUU